GUUAAGUCCCGCAACGAGCGCAACCCCUAUUGUAUGUUGCCAUCAUUAAGUUGGGCACUCAUGCGAUACUGCCUGCGAUGAGCAGGAGGAAGGUGGGGAUGACGUCAAGUCAUCAUGCCCCUUAUACGCUGGGCUACACACGUGCUACAAUGGGCAGUACAGAGAGAAGCGAUUUCGCGAGAAGGAGCAAAUCUCACAAAGCUGUUCGUAGUUCGGAUUGUACUCUGCAACUCGAGUACAUGAAGUUGGAAUCACUAGUAAUCGCAAAUCAGCUAUGUUGCGGUGAAUACGUUCUCGGGUCUUGUACACACCGCCCGUCACACCACGAGAGUUGAUUGCACCUGAAGUAGCAGGCCUAACCGCAAGGAUGGAUGCUCCGAGGGUGUGGUUAGCGAUUGGGGUGAAGUCGUAACAAGGUAUCCGUACG
rnacentral:rRNA from 1 species